rnacentral:rRNA from 1 species
AUCGCUGUGAUCCCUUCGGGGUGAACUUGAUGCUGUCGAGUGGCGGACGGGUGAGUAAUACUUGGGAAUCUGCCCAGUAGUGGGGGACAACACGAGGAAACUCGUGCUAAUACCGCAUACGUCCUACGGGAGAAAGUGGGGGAUCUUCGGACCUCACGCUAUUGGAUGAGCCCAAGUCGGAUUAGCUUGUUGGUGGGGUAAAGGCCUACCAAGGCGACGAUCCGUAGCUGGUCUGAGAGGACGAUCAGCCACACUGGGACUGAGACACGGCCCAGACUCCUACGGGAGGCAGCAGUGGGGAAUAUUGGACAAUGGGGGCAACCCUGAUCCAGCAAUGCCGCGUGUGUGAAGAAGGCCUGCGGGUUGUAAAGCACUUUCAGUAGAGAAGAAAUGCCUUGGGUUAAUAGCCCAGGGUCUUGACGUAACCUACAGAAGAAGCACCGGCUAACUCCGUGCCAGCAGCCGCGGUAAUACGGAGGGUGCGAGCGUUAAUCGGAAUUACUGGGCGUAAAGCGCGCGUAGGCGGCCUGAUCAGUCGGAUGUGAAAGCCCUGGGCUUAACCUGGGAAUUGCACUCGAUACUGUCAGGCUAGAGUAUGGGAGAGGGAAGUGGAAUUUCCGGUGUAGCGGUGAAAUGCGUAGAUAUCGGAAGGGACACCAGUGGCGAAGGCGACUUCCUGGCCCAAUACUGACGCUCAGGUGCGAAAGCGUGGGUAGCGAACAGGAUUAGAUACCCUGGUAGUCCACGCCGUAAACGAUGAGAACUAGAUGUCGGGAGGAUUACCUCUCGGUGUCGCAGCUAACGCGUUAAGUUCUCCGCCUGGGGAGUACGCCGGCAACG